UACGUAGGGUGCGAGCGUUAAUCGGAAUUACUGGGCGUAAAGCGUGCGCAGGCGGUUUUGUAAGCCAGAUGUGAAAUCCCCGGGCUUAACCUGGGAAUGGCAUUUGGGACUGCAAGGCUGGAGUUUGGCAGAGGAGACUGGAAUUCCUGGUGUAGUAGUGAAAUGCGUAGAUAUCAGGAGGAAUACCGAUGGCGAAGGCAGGUCUCUGGGCUAUAACUGACGCUCAUGCACGAAAGCGUGGGGAGCAAACAGG
rnacentral:rRNA from 1 species